UGACUGUUUUAUUCCUAGUUAUAACCGUCUUUACAAAAGGGGUUACAUGAAUGACAUAGCGAGAUUAAGAGGCUGUGUUUUGCAUAAAGAAAGCGGUCGUAUAGAUGCGUAUGUGUGUAUACAGUACAAUGCAUACAGUCCAGUCGGAAGGGUAUUAUGCAUGUUUAUUAGGAAUAUUUAAUUAUGUAUAUAUUAUCCGCGGCUCAUUUUUCGGAAACAACCUCGAACACUACAUGAAGCUUGUCGUCCGCGACAUAUCCUUCACGUUCAAGAUCGUCCAACAGAAAGGGAGCGCCAAAAAGCCAUGCUGGUAGAUUACUUUCUUUGUCGGGCCUUGCCAAGUACAUAAAAGUGUUCCAAGUUACAUCCUCCUUUCUGCACUCUUUGUUUUGCGAUGGGUGUUUAAUGGUCAGCUGAAUCUUUUCUUUGAACGGCCAUUGAAGAGCGUCGUCGAUCACUCCUUUGCGCAGCUGAAAGCGAGGACGCAGGUAAACACGCUCUCCCUUCUUCCGAAAUGUUACG
rnacentral:lncRNA from 1 species